GAAAACAGCACGGAGAAGUCUCAUUGCCAUUACCUGCCCCUUUGGAACCCAGGAUUUCAUUACUAAGGAAGGUCAAGGGAACUAGUCAGCCCUGGCUGUUGGAGAACAGUCCUUGGGAUACUCACCAGGGUCUCCACCAUGUUGGAUUUGUUGUUACGCAGUGUUUUCACGAUGUGGAACACGUCAAUGAUGUUUUGCUGCUGGAUCAUCUCACACACACUGCAGAUGGCACAGAAGGUUCCACUACGGCCUCCCCCAUUUCUAAACACAGAGCAAAGAGGAUAAUACUCAAAGGACUGCCCGUGUGGAAAUUCUGGAUCAGCCAGCUUGGGGUAGCUGUGAAGAUGAGUAGCAUCCUAGAUAUGGGAUACUGCAUGUCAAAAUACAGAGAUCUGUGGGUUGCUCCGAUGAGCUGAAUGACCCAGAAGAUAAAAGAGGAAGGUUGAGAUCACUGUAGAAGCAGUGAGAAACCAGCAAGAAACUGAGCUCGGCUCCCUGGCUCACAUAGACAUGGAACAGAGAUCACAUCUGUGAGUGGAGGAGCCAGACUUUUCAUAUAAGCACAUGUAAAACUUUUGAAGUUGGCUGAUCCAAGAAUAGAUUCAAAUUCUUCAGCCAAGAGUCUAGACCAACUGACUUUUUCCACUUCAUUGCCUAGGCUACAGGUGGCCAACUGUCUUGGCCCCCUAGGACUCACCUCUGUCUGUACCAGGUUGACCCUUUGGGCCCGGAGCUCACGCACGCAGUUGAAGAUGUCCACCACCCCUUCAUUCUCGGCCAUGUCAAGCAUGGUGUCAAUGGCAAUGAAGCAGCCAGUCCGCCCAGCCCCAGCACUGGAAGAGAGCAAAUGGGUUGACGGAUGGAAGCAAAGAAGGAGAGGAGAGAGAACAGAGGGGAGAUGAAUGACAGGACAGAAACGAGAGUCCUCUGAGCUGUCCCCAAGACAGAGAGUGGUUGGUGGAGCACCACGUUCAAAGGCCGGCAUCUGGCUCCACCUGCAGCUGUUUUCGCAGGAUCGUGAAGCAAGAGUGUCAUGAAACUGGAGCAGCUGACCGUCCGGAGACCCUUGUCAGGGAUCAAGUUUCUUGAUACAUACUUACUUGAUUUCUGGUCACUAGUGGCUUCUUUAGGAGAAUCUCAGACCAAGUAUAAAAUGGUAGGGGAACUCAACGAGACUCUAUGGGCCUUGGCCAGCCCUUUCUAGAUCAGUGCUGGGCUCUGAAACAUCAGUGCUGACCAAGAGGCACGUAAGACAUGUGCCUUACACAUGUGCAGUUUUGGAUGGGAAGGCCGGGCAGCCUGUCAAGGAGGCCCCCUUCCGCUGCGUUUUCACAUCUUGCCUUUCUCAUGGAAACAAGUGUCUUUGUCUAACAAUGUAGAUGUCAAAAGACACACAAAGAGGAAGAGAGAUGGAACAAGACAAAAAAGCAAUAUUGGCUCAUGGUAAAUCCAAGGGGCACAGGCCAGUGCGGACCACUACCUACAACAAUUUGGAAAGUACACCCAUUGGAAGCAGAGUCUUCAUUCAUGAGAAACUUUCAUGGUUUGAAUGAAGUCUGACUUAAGUUUGCUUCAGAACCUACUCCCCAAAAUCCAGAUGCGGGGACUCAAGAGACUUGGCCUCUGUGUCUGGGAGGGAGUAUAGGGGGGGUCACUCGUGUUUUUUUCUUCAAUGUUCAUAUUCACCAUGCUUUAGUAUAAAGAAUCAGCCCAAUUUGGUUCCAAAUUUUGGAACAACUAUCAAUCAAUCAGCGGUGACCAAGUUGCCUAGUGUCCGUUUGUUUGUUAGCUUCAGAUUUCUGAUGCUUUUAACAUACCUCCCUGCAGGGUCCUUGUGAGGACAAAGCUGUGUUUAUUUCAUUUCAGCAUCACAUAGUAAUUGAACACAGGAUAUUUGAAAAGACCCCCUAGGAUUAAAUCCUGGCUCUAUUACUUAUUAGCUGCAUGACCUCGGGCAAAUGACUUAACCUCUCUGGGUUUCAAUACUCAUCUAUAAAAUGAUGUUGAUAAUAAUUAAAAUACUCACUCAUCUAUAAAAUGAUGUUGAUAAUAAUUAAUAGAUCCACCUCACAGCAUUAAUAGCACAAUAUGUAUAAAUUGGAUGAAA